GUGAAGAGGCCACCUAAAGCCAGCCUUAAGGGUCUCCCUAAAAAUAACAAACUCCCCUCGUCGUGCUCGAAUAAUCCUAUCCUCGGGGUCAGGAAAUCUAACAUCGCAAUUAGGCAUAAUACCAUAUUCCCUAGCCGCAGCUAUGACUGAGUGCUCUUUAAGCCUACAGGGUUCGUCGGGAUACUCAAAAACCAUAUUAACCUGGGCCUCGGGAGUAGCCUCUAGGGGAAUAGCCGUCGGUAUUAUCGAGGUCCCUACGUCCUCCUCACUACUACUAGAACUGCUAGAAGAUUCUCGACCCUCACUACUCGACAUUACUUAACAAACUUAAAGACCUAGCUUAUGAAUAACUUAAAGUCUCGAGCCUUACCUGGUGUUCCCGACGACUUGAGAAGUUCCCAAAGUGUUUUUCUCGAGCACGACCUCUCAGAGCUCUGAUUUACAGUGGGUAAAAGUGAAAAAUGAAGGUGAGAAAAAUAGUAUUUAUAGGUGAAAACGAUGGGAGGCCAAAGGUCGCUAUCUACGACCGUCCACAGAGACACGUGUCACAAAUCCAAGCCACUAUCUGCAACGGUCAUAUCUCGACCUAUAUCAUCAACCGUCACUUCUCGAUGAAGGUUCGAGAAAUGAAAUAACCCAUGUGCACCCCAUCCUAAGAGCUCGAUCUCUAGGACGAGUGCACGGGGGCCAGUGACUAUGCCAAUAUUGAUACACCCCGAGGAGUUUAUCCCGAGGACUCAAUAUAUGCCCCACCUCAGUUCUCUUCUAUGGUCCUCGGGGUCACCCUAAGUCCUCGAGGUAUCGUAGUCCUCGAGAUAUCUCGAGGACACAUUUACAUUCUCUCAAUGUCCUCGAGAAUAGUCCUCGAGACAUACAGCACCAACAUGCCUCCUAAGACCUGGGUCCCUAACUAACAAACCUAAACACCCAAGGAUUCUACAUCAACUCUGACACCACUUGUCAAACAAUUCCAUUACAUGUAGGACACUCUUUAUAAUAGAAAUUCCCUUGGAUAAAAACAUCCAAUCAGCACAAUCCUACUAGGAGUACACUACCUACUCCUAUAAAAGCAGAACCUUGGGCCAUUAUUCAGGUACGUUUUUAAUUGUUCUUCAACACAUAGCCUCACGCAUAUAUUUCCCUUUCUGACUUAAGCAUCGGAGGGGCGACGAGAACACACCUCGUUGCCUUUGUUUCAGGUAUCGGAAGAUCACGUUCGUGCUCCUCAUCCGUCAUCAAGCUCGGGAAAUCUAUAGGUACGACUUUUGGUAGCAUCAAUGAUGAAGCCCCCUUUUUUUUGGUUUUUUAAUUUAAUUUUUUAACUUAUUUAACAUGAGAAAAAUGCAAAGUACUAUUUUACCCUUUUUAAUUUGAUCAAAUUUUAACUUUUUUUUGUCAACUAACGGUUUCUAUCCAUUUGAACCUUAGCUGCUAAUUUUUCAAAGAUUGGGACUUUUAUUGGCACAAAUUGAAGGUUAGAGCAAAAUUCACAAAAAGGUGAAAAGUGAAGGACUGCUACUGC
rnacentral:lncRNA from 1 species